UACAGAGGGUGCGAGCGUUGUUCGGAAUUACUGGGCGUAAAGGGCGCGUAGGCGGCUCGAUAAGUCUGUUGUGAAAGCCCGGGGCUCAACUCCGGAAGUGCAAUGGAAACUAUCGAGCUAGAGUGCAGUAGAGGUUGGUGGAAUACCCAGUGUAGAGGUGAAAUUCGUAGAUAUUGGGUGGAACACCGGUGGCGAAGGCGGCCAACUGGGCUGCAACUGACGCUGAGGCGCGAAAGCGUGGGGAUCAAACAGG
rnacentral:rRNA from 1 species